rnacentral:rRNA from 1 species
UACGUAGGGGGCAAGCGUUGUCCGGAAUUAUUGGGCGUAAAGAGCUUGUAGGCGGUUUGUCGCGUCUGCUGUGAAAAUCCGGGGCUCAACCCCGGACUUGCAGUGGGUACGGGCAGACUAGAGUGUGGUAGGGGAGACUGGAAUUCCUGGUGUAGCGGUGGAAUGCGCAGAUAUCAGGAGGAACACCGAUGGCGAAGGAGGUCUCUGGGCCACUACUGACGCUGAGAAGCGAAAGCAUGGGGAGCGAACAGG